rnacentral:misc_RNA from 1 species
AUAUUUUGGUUAUGAUCGCUUGCGCGACAAUUACAUGCUUUUGAAACAAGUGUUUAUAAAAACGCCCUAAGGCGACGGUUCACAAAGGGUUUGUAAUGGAUGGAUUAUUCGUUAAUGAUCCUUCCGCAGGUUCACCUACGGAAA